rnacentral:lncRNA from 1 species
GGGCGGCCUCCGUGUGCCAAAAAUAGGCCACGGGCACAGCCGCGCCCAAAAAUCAGCCCCCGAAGGUCGGGGUCACAAGACCCCCCAGCGGAAAAAAGGCCAAGAAACGCGUGGGCUAUAGCCUUGGUGGGGGGCGUGGGUGAAGUUCGUCCGCGGGACUCGGAAUGGCACCAUACUUGGCGGGCGGCCUCCGUGUGCCAAAAAUAGGCCACGGGCACAGCCGCGCCCAAAAAUCAGCCCCCGAAGGUCGGGGUCCCAAGACCCCCCAGCGGAAAAAUGGCCAAAAAACGGGUGGGCUAUAGCCUUGGUGGGGGGCGUGGGCGAAGUUCGUCCGCGGGACUCGGAAUGGCCCCAGACUUGGCGGGCGGCCUCCGUGUGCCAAAAAUAGGCCACGGGCACAGCCGCGGCCAAAAAUCAGCCCCCGAAGGUCGGGGUCCCAAGACCCCCCAGCGGAAAAAUGGCCAAGAAACGCGUGGGCUAUAGCCUUGGUGGGGGGCGUGGGCGAAGUUCGUCCGCGGGACUCGGAAUGGCCCCAGACUUGGCGGGCGGCCUCCGUGUGCCAAAAAUAGGCCACGGGCACAGCCGCGCCCAAAAAUCAGCCCCCGAAGGUCGGGGUCCCAAGACCCCCCAGCGGAAAAAUGGCCAAGAAACGGGUGGGCUAUAGCCUUGGUGGGGGGCGUGGGCGAAGUUCGUCCGCGGGACUCGGAAUGGCCCCAGACUUGGCGGGCGGCCUCCGUGUGCCAAAAAUAGGCCACGGGCACAGCCGCGCCCAAAAAUCAGCCCCCGAAGGUCGGGGUCACAAGACCCCCCAGCGGAAAAAAGGCUAAGAAACGCGUGGGCUAUAGCCUUGGUGGGGGGCGUGGGCGAAGUUCGUCCGCGGGACUCGGAAUGGCACCAUACUUGGCGGGCGGCCUCCGUGUGCCAAAAAUAGGCCACGGGCACAGCCGCGCCCAAAAAUCAGCCCCCGAAGGUCGGGGUCCCAAGACCCCCCAGCGGAAAAAUGGCCAAAAAACGGGUGGGCUAUAGCCUUGGUGGGGGGCGUGGGCGAAGUUCGUCCGCGUGACUCGGAAUGGCCCCAGACUUGGCGGGCGGCCUCCGUGUGCCAAAAAUAGGCCACGGGCACAGCCGCGCCCAAAAAUCAGCCCCCGAAGGUCGGGGUCCCAAGACCCCCCAGCGGAAAAAUGGCCAAGAAACGCGUGGGCUAUAGCCUUGGUGGGGGGCGUGGGCGAAGUUCGUCCGCGGGACUCGGAAUGGCCCCAGACUUGGCGGGCGGCCUCCGUGUGCCAAAAAUAGGCCACGGGCACAGCCGCGCCCAAAAAUCAGCCCCCGAAGGUCGGGGUCACAAGACCCCCCAGCGGAAAAAAGGCCAAGAAACGCGUGGGCUAUAGCCUUGGUGGGGGGCGUGGGUGAAGUUCGUCCGCGGGACUCGGAAUGGCACCAUACUUGGCGGGCGGCCUCCGUGUGCCAAAAAUAGGCCACGGGCACAGCCGCGCCCAAAAAUCAGCCCCCGAAGGUCGGGGUCCCAAGCCCCCCCAGCGGAAAAAUGGCCAAGAAACGCGUGGGCUAUAGCCUUGGUGGGGGGCGUGGGCGAAGUUCGUCCGCGGGACUCGGAAUGGCCCCAGACUUGGCGGGCGGCCUCCGUGUGCCAAAAAUAGGCCACGGGCACAGCCGGGCCCAAAAAUCAGCCCCCGAAGGUCGGGGUCACAAGGACCCCCCAGCGGAAAAAAGGCCAAGAAACGGGUGGGCUAUAGCCUUGGUGGGGGGCGUGGGCGAAGUUCGUCCGCGGGACUCGGAAUGGCACCAUACUUGGCGGGCGGCCUCCGUGUGCCAAAAAUAGGCCACGGGCACAGCCGCGCCCAAAAAUCAGCCCCCGAAGUUCGGGGUCCCAAGACCCCCCAGCGGAAAAAUGGCCAAAAAACGGGUGGGCUAUAGCCUUGGUGGGGGGCGUGGGCGAAGUUCGUCCGCGGGACUCGAAAUGGCCCCAGACUUGGCGGGCGGCCUCCGUGUGCCAAAAAUAGGCCACGGGCACAGCCGCGCCCAAAAAUCAGCCCCCGAAGGUCGGGGUCCCAAGACCCCCCAGCGGAAAAAUGGCCAAGAAACGCGUGGGCUAUAGCCUUGGUGGGGGGCGUGGGCGAAGUUCGUCCGCGGGACUCGGAAUAGCCCCAGACUUGGCGGGCGGCCUCCGUGUGCCAAAAAUUGGCCACGGGCACAGCCGCGCCCAAAAAUCAGCCCCCGAAGGUCGGGGUCCCAAGACCCCCCAGCGGAAAAAUGGCCAAGAAACGGGUGGGCUAUAGCCUUGGUGGGGGGCGUGGGCGAAGUUCGUCCGCGGGACUCGGAAUGGCCCCAGACUUGGCGGGCGGCCUCCGUGUGCCAAAAAUAGGCCACGGGCACAGCCGCACCCAAAAAUCAGCCCCCGAAGGUCGGGGUCCCAAGACCCCCCAGCGGAAAAAUGGCCAAGAAACGCAUGGGCUAUAGCCUUGGUGGGGGGCGUGGGCGAAGUUCGUCCGCGGGACUCGGAAUGGCCCCAGACUUGGCGGGCGGCCUCCGUGUGCCAAAAAUAGGCCA